GGGGGGGUAGCUCAGUUGGUUAGAGCGCUACGUUGACAUCGUAGAGGUCACCGGUUCGAUCCCGUUCCUCCCCACCA
rnacentral:tRNA from 1 species